rnacentral:rRNA from 1 species
GGGAACCUCACCCGGCCCGGACACCGCGAGGAUUGACAGACUGAGAGCUCUUUCUCGAUUCGGUGGGUGGUGGUGCAUGGCCGUUCUUAGUUGGUGGAGCGAUCUGUCUGGUUAAUUCCGAUAACGAACGAGACCCCAACCUGCUAAAUAGUGACGCGGUUCAUCGAACCGUGGGCCACUUCUUAGAGGGACUAUCGGAUUCAAACCGAUGGAAGUGUGAGGCAAUAA